CCUACGGGAGGGCAGCAGUGGGGAAUAUUGGACAAUGGGGGCAACCCUGAUCCAGCCAUGCCGCGUGUGUGAAGAAGGCCCUCGGGUUGUAAAGCACUUUCAGUGAGGAAGAACGCCUGGUGGUUAAUACCCAUCAGGAAAGACAUCACUCACAGAAGAAGCACCGGCUAACUCCGUGCCAGCAGCCGCGGUAAUACGGAGGGUGCGAGCGUUAAUCGGAAUUACUGGGCGUAAAGCGCGCGUAGGUGGCUUGAUAAGCCGGUUGUGAAAGCCCCGGGCUCAACCUGGGAACGGCAUCCGGAACUGUCAAGCUAGAGUGCAGGAGAGGAAGGUAGAAUUCCCGGUGUAGCGGUGAAAUGCGUAGAGAUCGGGAGGAAUACCAGUGGCGAAGGCGGCCUUCUGGACUGACACUGACACUGAGGUGCGAAAGCGUGGGUAGCAAACAGGAUUAGAUACCCUAGUAGUC
rnacentral:rRNA from 1 species